rnacentral:rRNA from 1 species
AUACGGAGGGUGCAAGCGUUGUCCGGAUUUAUUGGGUUUAAAGGGUGCGUAGGUGGUUUUUUAAGUCAGUGGUGAAAGCCUACAGCUUAACUGUAGAGGUGCCAUUGAAACUGGAAGACUUGAGUAUGGACGAGGUAGGCGGAAUUUGUGGUGUAGCGGUGAAAUGCAUAGAUACCACAAAGAACACCGAUAGCGAAGGCAGCUUACUAGGCCAUAACUGACACUGAGGCACGAAAGUGUGGGGAGCGAACAGGAUUAGAAACCCUAGUAGUCC